AAGGCAGACGGCCUGAAAGCUCUGCUCCUGUGGUUUGCGGUUUGCCCCUGUGAUGGACGUGGGCCAAGACACAGCUGGGGACAGUACCGGCUCUGCACACUUGCGGAACUUGGAGUGCAAGCUGGAGAAAGGUUGCUGAGGAGAGAAGGAAGGUCUGGAGGCUUGAAGCAAGACCAGCUGUGUUACCGCGCUGGAGCCCUUGUUCCCUGUUGACAUUGAGUCUUCACCCUUGAACUGCGUCUUCAGAAACAUGACUGCCAAGUUCCUACAUGGUCUGCAAGCUGGUGGUAACGUUCAUGAAAGGUCAGAUAGAGGAGCAUGACCAAGAAGACUGUAAGGACCAUAUUCCAAAGAGAUGGGCUCUUUGAAGGGAAAUAAUGCAGGAGCAAAUGAUUUGGGUUUCAUCUUUGAGAAGAUGAAAGAGGAAGACCUGAUGUUAUGAAGAGAAUGCUCAAAACAUUUUUAGAGCCUAUCUAACGCAGGUUUGGAUCUGGAAGGAGAGAAGGCGCGCGGUUGUUGCUAUUGCAGGACUCUCUGGAACACUCACUCGGACAUCAGUGAGAGUAGAAGCGAAGAGAUGUCGCAGAUGGACUCAAGCCAGGGUUGCUCCUGAAAGGCUUGGUUGGGCUCCAGUCUGUUGUUUGCGUUUUAUACUCUAAAACCACAAGGUGGGGUGGGCAAGCAAGCGAAAUUUUACAGAUGCCUAAGAGGCAGUCAGCAGGUUGUUAAGGGUAACAUAGCCCAAUGUUUCUGCUAUUUCUCCAGGUCGUUAUGUUCCAAGUAGCCAGUAAAGACAUGCUUGUCAAAUAAGCAGGACAAGCAGUGCUUUGAAUAAGUCAUGAAAUGAAUCAAUAAAUCAGUAUUUAAUAAUAGGUCUCUGCUGCUUUCUUCUACUUUACUGGUAAAGAUCAUGGAAGAAGCAACUUCAAACGGAGAUGUGUAAAAUUGAUGCAUUGAGCUUCGAAGUGAAAUGACCCAAUGUAAAUGUCAAGGAAGUGGCUUCUGUCUCUCGGUUAAAAGGAGGUUGUAGCAGAUGAAGCAAAAGUCCAUUGCUAGCCCAUUGCCAUAAGGGAAAUGUUGAUCGUUAGCAUCUGAGUUGUGACAUAGAAGGUUGUGGGAAGAGUAGUCAGAGUGUGGAUGUGUUUGCAGGCAAAGCAAAGGAAAUUUUCUGACUCAUCAGAUUGGUCUGUGGUAGAAAAGUGAAAGUUUAGAAUGGGUUCAGAGUUUUGGUUCAGAAGCUGAAAAGUUGGGGUUUCAGGAUCAUCAUGGGGGGCCUUUGGGAAGCCCUUUGUUAACUUGUGCUGUGUGGCUUUCGAUGCAUAAACUUAGGAGAUCAUGGAGGGAACCAGCAUGGCCACAAUGGUGGUUAAGAAUUGAGCCACAAAGACUUCUGGGCUUUGGAAAACUGAGAGAUGAGGAGACCUAAGACUGACUAGAGAGGAUGACCAGUGACAACUGUCCUGUGGCCACGUCAAAGACGAGAUCCCCUGAUUCACAGUCGUGUUUGUUCAGGGCAGAUCUUUACCACCUUUGGAAUCCUAGGCACAAAAGCCUGCCGGUUAAGGAAAACAGAAGGUGCUGGAUGUGGACCACCACGCCAGCUUCUACACUCCCAAGAACUCCAGCAAACACCAGGAUUCCUGUAUCACGCUCAGUUGACCACAAGCACCAUUCACUCAGAUGCCAGGCUAGCCAUGUGUGAUUUGUAUAUUGUUGCACCAGGGAGGCACCAUUUGGAGGCCUUGUUGGAGUAAGUGUGUCACUGUGGGUGUGGGCUUAAUACUCUCACCCUAGGUGCCUGGAAAUCAGUCUUCCACUAGCAGCCUUUGGAUGAAGACGUAGAACUCUCAGCUCCUCCUGCACCAUGCCUGCCUGGAUGCUGCCAUGCUCCUACCUUGAUGGUAGUGGACUGAACCUCUGAAUCUGUAAGCCAGCUCCAAUUAAAUGUUGAUUUUUUUUUCAAUAAGACUUGCCUUGGUCAUGGUGUCUGUUCACAGCAGUAAAACCCUAAGACACCAUGGAAACACGGCCACUUCUGUCUCUCUCCCCUGUCCCUGACAGAUCUACUCACAAAGAUCCCAUCUAGUUUGUCUCCUUUUCAAGUUGAUCUCUUCCCUACUCCUGUUGCUGUUUUUCAUUCUUACCCUCCUACCUUACCAUCUCUUCUGUUCAUACCCACCAUAAAGAUCUUUGAAAAGUCUAAAGCAAUCACUGCAGGGCAGGAGAGAUGGCUCAGUGGUUAAGAACUCUUGCCGGUCAUGCACAGAACCUGGGUUUGGUUUCCUGCAUCACAUGGUUGCUCAUGACCACCUGGAGCUGUAUUUCUAGGAGAUCUGACACCUUCUGCCCUCCGAGAGCAUCGAGCAUGGACACUGGUGCAUUUGCAUACAUUCGAGCAAAAUACUCAUACACAUAAAGUAGAAUAAACAUUUUAAAAAGUCACUUGCUGUAGCCCAUUACAGGACCAGAAUGAUAUUCCCUCUAACAACUGAUUUUCAAUAUCAUUCUAGAAACCUUAGCUAAUGUAAUGAGACAAG
rnacentral:lncRNA from 1 species